UACGAAGGGUGCAAGCGUUACUCGGAAUUACUGGGCGUAAAGCGUGCGUAGGCGGUUUGUUAAGUCUGUCGUGAAAGCCCCGGGCUCAACCUGGGAAUGGCGAUGGAAACUGGCGAGCUAGAGUACGGUAGAGGAGAGUGGAAUUCCCGGUGUAGCAGUGAAAUGCGUAGAGAUCGGGAGGAACAUCAGUUGCGAAGGCGGCUCUCUGGACCAGUACUGACACUGAGGAGCGAAAGCCAGGGGAGCAAACGGG
rnacentral:rRNA from 1 species